rnacentral:rRNA from 1 species
UACAGAGGGUGCGAGCGUUAAUCGGAAUUACUGGGCGUGAAGCGUGCGCAGGCGGUGAUGUAAGACAGGUGUGAAAUCCCCGGGCUUAACCUGGGAACUGCAUUUGUGACUGCAUCGCUGGAGUGCGGCAGAGGGGGAUGGAAUUCCGCGUGUAGCAGUGAAAUGCGUAGAUAUGCGGAGGAACACCGAUGGCGAAGGCAAUCCCCUGGGCCUGCACUGACGCUCAUGCACGAAAGCGUGGGGAGCAAACAGG